UACAGUGAGAAGCGAGAAGGCUUGCUAUGCUGGACCACACAAUGGAAACAAGAUGGGCCCUGUCUCAGCAAGGGAAGAGAGAACAGACUCCCAAAGUUGUCCUCUGACCGCCACAGCCAUGCCAAGGCACACUCACCUGCACGACAAGCACACGGAAUUGGUUAAUGUUUUAAUUGGAGAGAUGGCUGAGUUGAUAAAACGCCUGAGGACCUGAGUUUGACUCCCCAGCAUCAGGGUCAAGAUGUAGAACUCUGGCUCCUCCAUCACCAAGUCUGCCUGCACGCUGCCAUGCUUCCUGCCAUGAUGAUAAUGGACUAAACCUCCGAAACGGAAUGGAAGCCCUAACUAAGAUGUUCAUGAAAACCGGUAUCAAACUUGCUGAAUACAUCUGAAGAUCUAUGUUCCAUCCUUGGAGCCCACAGUGAAAGGAGAGAACCGACUCCUGAAAGCUGACCUCUGACCUCCACCGAUGCACCGGGGCAUGACACAGGAGGCUGAGGCAGGUGGAUCGCCAGGAGUUCCAAGGCCAGCCUGAUCUACAGAGGUCUCUGACUGUCCUGGAACUCUUCACAAUGUAGACCAAGCUAACCUUGAACUCACAGAGAUCCAACUGCCUCUCAAGUGCUGGGAUUAAAGAUUUACUCCAUCAUGCUCAGCUAGGCUGGACCCUCUUAAAUCAAUUAAAAAUCAAGACAGUCUCAUGUGCUCAUACCAACGUGAUAAAUUGCUCCAUUGAGCCUCCUUCUUCAGGUGACUGUAACCGAUGAUAAGUUGACACUGUAUACUGGCUGGUUUUGUGUGUCAACUUGACACAAGCUGGAGUUAUCUGACACUUCCUCCUCCCGAAAGUCCUAUCCCUGGCCAGGACCAGAAAGCACUCUAUUCAUCUGGCUCCUGAAUCCUGAUCCAGGAAGAAGGGGAAGCUGGGACUAUGCAGAAGAAGAGACCAAAUCCACAGUGACAUGGAUCCCAUGGGAGAGCCCGGCUUGUGCUAUCCCUCACCAGGUACGCUCGGGGAAG
rnacentral:lncRNA from 1 species